GCUGACUUCUCUAUAAUCAGCGCGCUUUUUACUUCCAGCUGGGAAUCCGGUGUAAAUCCGGAACUGGCGCGCAGCGGUAAUGAGAAACGAAGGUGACUGGGCGAAAAGCCGGACACUGCACGUAAUGUGUGGGAAGUCGUCACCGUAGGGGGUCUCUAAGUCCGAAUAUCAGCUGGACAACAAUGUGGUAU
rnacentral:ncRNA from 1 species